rnacentral:rRNA from 1 species
GUUAGGAAUCUUGCGCAAUGGGCGAAAGCCUGACGCAGCAACGCCACGUGCGGGAUGAAGGCCUUCGGGUUGUAAACCGCUUUCAGUAGGGACGAAACCAGACGGUACCUACAGAAGAAGCCCCGGCCAACUACGUGCCAGCAGCCGCGGUAAUACGUAGGGGGCAAGCGUUGUCCGGAAUCAUUGGGCGUAAAGAGCUCGUAGGCGGCUCAGCAAGUCGGGUGUAAAAACUCCAGGCUCAACCUGGAGAGGCCACCCGAUACUGCUGUGGCUAGAGUCCAGUAGAGGAGUGUGGAACUCCCAGUGUAGCGGUGAAAUGCGCAGAUAUUGGGAAGAACACCAGCGGCGAAGGCGGCACUCUGGGCUGGUACUGACGCUGAGGAGCGAAAGCGUGGGUAGCAAACAGGAUUAGAUACCCUUGUAGUCC